rnacentral:rRNA from 1 species
UACGUAGGGUCCGAGCGUUGUCCGGAAUUAUUGGGCGUAAAGGGCUCGUAGGCGGUUCGUCACGUCGGGAGUGAAAACUCGGGGCUUAACCCCGAGCCUGCUUCCGAUACGGGCAGACUAGAGGUAGGCAGGGGAGAGCGGAACUCCUGGUGUAGCGGUGGAAUGCGCAGAUAUCAGGAAGAACACCGGUGGCGAAGGCGGCUCUCUGGGCCUUACCUGACGCUGAGGAGCGAAAGCGUGGUAGCGAACAGG